rnacentral:rRNA from 1 species
UACGAGUGCUCCAAGCGUUAUCCGGAAUCAUUGGGCGUAAAGCGAGUGUAGGCGGUCUCAUAAGUCGGGUGUGAAAGCCCCGGGCUCAACCCGGGAAGUGCACUCGAAACUGCGAGGCUAGAGUACUGGAGAGGUUGGUGGAAUUCUAGGUGUAGAGGUGAAAUUCGUAGAUAUCGAGAGGAACACCGGUGGCGAAGGCGGCCAACUGGACGAAUACUGACGCUGAGACUCGAAAGCGUGGGGAGCAAACAGG